rnacentral:rRNA from 1 species
CUUAGAAGCAGCCAUCAUUUAAAGAAAGCGUAAUAGCUCACUGGUCGAGUCGGCCUGCGCGGAAGAUGUAACGGGGCUAAACCAUGCACCGAAGCUGCGGCAGCGACACUAUGUGUUGUUGGGUAGGGGAGCGUUCUGUAAGCCUGUGAAGGUGUACUGUGAGGUAUGCUGGAGGUAUCAGAAGUGCGAAUGCUGACAUAAGUAACGAUAAAGCGGGUGAAAAGCCCGCUCGCCGGAAGACCAAGGGUUCCUGUCCAACGUUAAUCGGGGCAGGGUGAGUCGACCCCUAAGGCGAGGCCGAAAGGCGUAGUCGAUGGGAAACAGGUUAAUAUUCCUGUACUUGGUGUUACUGCGAAGGGGGGACGGAGAAGGCUAUGUUGGCCGGGCGACGGUUGUCCCGGUUUAAGCGUGUAGGCUGAUUUUCCAGGCAAAUCCGGAAAAUCAAGGCUGAGGCGUGAUGACGAGGCACUACGGUGCUGAAGCAACAAAUGCCCUGCUUCCAGGAAAAGCCUCUAAGCAUCAGGUAACAUCAAAUCGUACCCCAAACCGACACAGGUGGUCAGGUAGAGAAUACCAAGGCGCUUGAGAGAACUCGGGUGAAGGAACUAGGCAAAAUGGUGCCGUAACUUCGGGAGAAGGCACGCUGAUAUGUAGGUGAAGCGACUUGCUCGUGGAGCUGAAAUCAGUCGAAGAUACCAGCUGGCUGCAACUGUUUAUUAAAAACACAGCACUGUGCAAACACGAAAGUGGACGUAUACGGUGUGACGCCUGCCCGGUGCCGGAAGGUUAAUUGAUGGGGUUAGCGGUAACGCGAAGCUCUUGAUCGAAGCCCCGGUAAACGGCGGCCGUAACUAUAACGGUCCUAAGGUAGCGAAAUUCCUUGUCGGGUAAGUUCCGACCUGCACGAAUGGCGUAAUGAUGGCCAGGCUGUCUCCACCCGAGACUCAGUGAAAUUGAACUCGCUGUGAAGAUGCAGUGUACCCGCGGCAAGACGGAAAGACCCCGUGAACCUUUACUAUAGCUUGACACUGAACAUUGAGCCUUGAUGUGUAGGAUAGGUGGGAGGCUUUGAAGUGUGGACGCCAGUCUGCAUGGAGCCGACCUUGAAAUACCACCCUUUAAUGUUUGAUGUUCUAACGUUGGCCCGUUAUCCGGGUUGCGGACAGUGUCUGGUGGGUAGUUUGACUGGGGCGGUCUCCUCCUAAAGAGUAACGGAGGAGCACGAAGGUUGGCUAAUCCUGGUCGGACAUCAGGAGGUUAGUGCAAUGGCAUAAGCCAGCUUGACUGCGAGCGUGACGGCGCGAGCAGGUGCGAAAGCAGGUCAUAGUGAUCCGGUGGUUCUGAAUGGAAGGGCCAUCGCUCAACGGAUAAAAGGUACUCCGGGGAUAACAGGCUGAUACCGCCCAAGAGUUCAUAUCGACGGCGGUGUUUGGCACCUCGAUGUCGGCUCAUCACAUCCUGGGGCUGAAGUAGGUCCCAAGGGUAUGGCUGUUCGCCAUUUAAAGUGGUACGCGAGCUGGGUUUAGAACGUCGUGAG